rnacentral:misc_RNA from 1 species
AUGGCCGAAGCAGGCGCCAAGC